rnacentral:snRNA from 13 species
GGUUUAAUUACCCAAGUUUGAGGCAAACAUCGAAACUGACCCUACUCAAUUUGGCGAUUCUAUAAAUUUUGGAAAGUCUCCUCCGCGGGAGACAAA